rnacentral:rRNA from 1 species
CCAGACUCCUACGGGAGGCAGCAGUGGGGGAUAUUGCACAAUGGGGGGAACCCUGAUGCAGCGACGCCGCGUGGGUGAAGGAGCGUUUCGGCGCGUAAAGCCCUAUCGGCAGGGAAGAAGGAGGACGGUACCUGACUAAGAAGCCCCGGCUAACUACGUGCCAGCAGCCGCGGUAAUACGUAGGGAGCGAGCGUUGUCCGGAAUUACUGGGUGUAAAGGGAGCGUAGGCGGGACUGCAAGUUGGGUGUCAAAUCUACCGGCUCAACCGGUAGCCGCACUCAAAACUGCAGUUCUUGAGUGAAGUAGAGGCAGGCGGAAUUCCUAGUGUAGCGGUGAAAUGCGUAGAUAUUAGGAGGAACACCGGCGGCGAAGGCGGCCUGCUGGACCGUAACUGACGUUGAGGCUCGAAAGCGUGGGGAGCAAACAGGAUUAGAUACCCCUGUAC